UACGGGGGGGGCAAGCGUUGUUCGGAAUUACUGGGCGUAAAGGGCGCGUAGGCGGCUUUUCAAGUGGGGCGUGAAAUCUCCGGGCUUAACCCGGAAGGGUCGUUCGAUACUGUUGAGCUAGAGUGUGGAAGAGGCAACUAGAAUUCCGUGUGUAGCGGUGAAAUGCGUAGAUAUACGGAGGAAUACCUGAGGCGAAGGCGGGUUGCUGGGCCAACACUGACGCUGAGGCGCGAAAGCCAGGGGAGCAAACGGG
rnacentral:rRNA from 1 species